rnacentral:rRNA from 1 species
GAUGAACGCUAGCUACAGGCUUAACACAUGCAAGUCGAGGGGUAACAAGAGAAAAGCUUGCUUUUCUUGUUGACGACCGGCGCACGGGUGAGUAACGCGUAUCCAACCUGCCUAUAACUAGGGAAUAACCUUGCGAAAGUAAGACUAAUACCCUAUGAUUUCCUUUGAUGACAUCAGAUUAGGAAUAAAGAUUUAUCGGUUAUAGAUGGGGAUGCGUCUGAUUAGCUUGUUGGCGGGGUAACGGCCCACCAAGGCAACGAUCAGUAGGGGUUCUGAGAGGAAGGUCCCCCACAUUUGAACUGAGACACGGUCCAAACUCCUACGGGAGGCAGCAGUGAGGAAUAUUGGUCAAUGGGCGGGAGCCUGAACCAGCCAAGUAGCGUGCAGGAUGACGGCCCUAUGGGUUGUAAACUGCUUUUAUACAGGAAUAAAGUUAGCCACGUGUGGUUAUUUGUAGGUACUGUAUGAAUAAGGACCGGCUAAUUCCGUGCCAGCAGCCGCAGUAA